UGAGGAUUCUUCUGAUACUGGCAGCAUGAAAAGGUUGGCAUGUCACCCAGAAGCAAAGCUGGCUCAUCCUUAGAAAAGGCAGCCGAUAGCCGGACGGGAGACCUGGUCACUAGGAUUCUGUUGCAGGUAGUUCAAAUUUGAGGAAUCUGGAGAAAGAAUAAAUGCCAGAGCCCAGAGAGCAAGGAGCUCAGAGAAAGAACAAAGCUGCUGUUGCUUUCCCCUCCUGCUGUUCCUGUUGUUAUUGAUGCAGUGAGACAAGAAGUUAGAGAUCUCCUGAAACAAGGAUUGAACUGGCUCCAAGCAACCCGAUGACCCUAACCAGCAGGAAGCAGAUAACUGUGUCCCCUCUCCCAUUAACCCUUUCUCUCUCCUGCCUUGUAUUGGGGUAUUGGAUAGCAUUGGGGUGGAGUAGGGAGAAAGAGAUAUAAAAAAUGUAAAUAAAAGAGUUUUUUUAAAGUAGGCCAAUAACACUCUUGCACACCUUUCACCCUUCCAGUUCUCUAGUGCAGUGUGAAUCUUUGGGAAGUUGCUCUUAGUUGUCAACAAGAUGGGAUCUGCAAUGACUAAGAAACAUACUUCGAGAAACAUACCACUAUGGAUCUAAGGGUACUUCCUGGAAAUAUUAACUGAGAGAAGACCCUCCUCCAUAAUGGGCAAUACUUCCCAGCAGCAGCCCUGCCUGCUUUCACUCUUUGCUCAUGAGUAUCUGCAUCCUGUUGCUGCUGCUGCCAACUACCACCAUCCUUUGACAUCAGAACCCAGCUUCUUUGACCUAACAGAAAAUAAAGACCAGUGACUCUCCGGAAAUCCUCCAGGCCUUCAGUGCCAACUAGAACUUUUGGCACAUCCAGACUCAUGGACUGAACAGUUACCCGGUUCUCAGCCUCCUGAGUACACACAGAUGACCACUGUUAGACUGCCUAUCUGUAGUGGCUAUUCUUGGUUGUCAACUUGACCACAUUUGGUAUUAUCUAAAAACCCAAAUGUUGCUGGGCAUUCCUGGAAGGGGUUUUAGUUAACUGGAUCGUUUGAAGUAGCAAUCCCCCAAAUCUGGGCCAUACCUUCAUGGUAGCCUAUAAAGGACAAGGAAGAAGGAAUCUUUUGCUCUUCUCUAGAUUCUGAUGACAUAUAGUGAAGACCAAGAUAGGCCGAGACAGCAGCCUCAUUACUAAAUAACUACUGUACUCUUGGAUUUUGCAUUGGGAGAUAGCCAUUGUUGAGCUAGCUGGACCACAGCCUGCAAGCCAUUUUAAUAAAUUACCUUUACAUGGGUAGAUAGAUAAUUGCACAGAAAGACAGACAGACAGACAGAUAAAUUCGUUUUAUUUCUUUUUUUCCUCUAGAGAGCUCUGACUAGAACACUAGCCCAUAUCAUGUAGGCCAAUCUACUAAAUUCCCUUUGUGAUAUAUAUUCAUGCUAUCCAUUUUAGAGAACCCUGACCAUACAGAUUUCAAAUGUACCUUGAAGGCCCAUGAAUUGAAGGCUUGAUCACCAGCCUGUAGGAGCUGGUGGAACCUUUCAGAUGUGGGACCUAGUGAGAAGACGUUAAAUAAUUGAAACUGUGGCCUUUAAAGAUAUUGGGGGCCAGUUCUUUCCUCCUCAGCUCAUUGAUUUUGAAUGUCAUGAGGUAAGCAGCUUUUCUCUGUCAUAUCCUUCUGUCAUGGUCUUCUGCCUCCUUACGGGUCCUAAGCAACGAUGACUGACUGAAACCCAUAGGCUAAAAAUUACCUUUCCUCCUUAUAAAGUUGAUUACCUCAGAUAUUUUGUCAUAGUGACAGAAAAAUUACCAAGACCCCUCAGUACUGACUACCUUUGUCUUCCCAGAUAAACCUGCAGUGUCUCUUAGCCCCUGCACAGAGAGGAAAUGCACCCAUCUGUGCUGGGCCAGACUGGCUCUGGGUCCCUCCUACCCCCUUGCUUGUUGAGGUAAAUUUUUUGUUUUGUUUUGUUUUUUCAUUUUAUUUUGUUUUGUUUUUUUUCCAGACAGGGUUUCUCUGUGUAUCCCAGGCUGUUCUGGAAUUGCUCUGUAGACCAUUCUGGCCUUGAACUCACAGGGAUCUGCCUGCCUCUGCCUCUUAAGUGCUGAGAUUAAAGGCGUGCACCACCGUG